rnacentral:rRNA from 1 species
CAGCCUUCUGAAAGGAAGAUUAAUCCAGGAUGGCAUCAUGAGUUCACAUGUCCGCAUGAUUAAAGGUAUUUUCCGGUAGACGAUGGGGAUGCGUUCCAUUAGAUAGUAGGCGGGGUAACGGCCCACCUAGUCAACGAUGGAUAGGGGUUCUGAGAGGAAGGUCCCCCACAUUGGAACUGAGACACGGUCCAAACUCCUACGGGAGGCAGCAGUGAGGAAUAUUGGUCAAUGGGCGAUGGCCUGAACCAGCCAAGUAGCGUGAAGGAUGACUGCCCUAUGGGUUGUAAACUUCUUUUAUAAAGGAAUAAAGUCGGGUAUGCAUACCCGUUUGCAUGUACUUUAUGAAUAAGGAUCGGCUAACUCCGUGCCAGCAGCCGCGGUAAUACGGAGGAUCCGAGCGUUAUCCGGAUUUAUUGGGUUUAAAGGGAGCGUAGAUGGAUGUUUAAGUCAGUUGUGAAAGUUUGCGGCUCAACCGUAAAAUUGCAGUUGAUACUGGAUGUCUUGAGUGCAGUUGAGGCAGGCGGAAUUCGUGGUGUAGCGGUGAAAUGCUUAGAUAUCACGAAGAACUCCGAUUGCGAAGGCAGCCUGCUAAGCUGCAACUGACAUUGAGGCUCGAAAGUGUGGGUAUCAAACAGGAUUAGAUACCCUGGUAGUCCACACGGU